UGCUGCGCGAGCUUCCCGUGCGCGCGCAGGCUGGGCGGCGCGCUUGCCUUCGCGCGCGCCUUGCGGGGCUAGGGGAGAAGGAGCAGGAUGACUGGAGACUGAUUGCAUGCUGGGAAUGCUGCCCAAGUCUGCAAUCUGGCGCAGGCACAGAUCCCAAGCCUAGGUCAGAGGGAACCCGAGAGCCUAGAGGCUCCGUCGGAGGUCAGGGUAGCCCUUCUCAAACUACCCUAGCUUUAAGAUUUUGGCUUUGUUGGAAACAGGGCCUGCACCUAGCUACAUAAGGAUUGUGUAGCCUGCUUUUGCGAUUGGACACUCAGGAUUCAUGUCCUUGGCAGUAAGCACACCUUGUCGGUGCCAGGAACAGACUGUGACAAGCAGACACCUGGAAGAAUCGUAAGGUACCCCGGAGCUCAGAGACCCCUAAAUCCUUGCUACUUUACAAUUCUCCACAGGCUCCCUUUGAACUUCAGACAUAGUUUUAGAUUUCCUAACCUUUGGAAAUGACAAAAACGAGAUGCAGCAACAUUCUUCCUACAUAUUAGAUGCUUGACAGAUAACGACAAUAACAAAAAUUCUUUAAACUACCAGAGAAUCAUUUGCCUCAUUUAGAGAACACCGACAAUCUUACUCCUCUGGGGUCUCUCAGCAGCAAGGAAGCAAAAUGGAAAACAACCUGAUAUUUGCUCCAAAAGGGAAUGUAAAGUUACCAUAAGAAUUCUACUCUUAGAUAUCUAUGGGAGAGAAAUGAAGACACGGGUCCAAAUGAAAACUUGUGCAUGAAUGUAUAGAACAACAAUUCAUACUAGUAACGAGUGGAUUCAACUGACAAACCGAUGGUACACUCGUCAUCCAAUGGGAGACCUUAUCUGUAAAAAGGAACGAAGUGCUGAUACAUGCUUCCAAGUGACAAACUUUCCAAGUAUGCAUAGUGAAAGAAGCCAGAUACAGAAAAGUCACGUACCGAAUUAUCCAUAUCUAAAAUAAACAAACCCAUAGAGAGGGAAAAAUGGGUGAGCUGUGGGGGUGGGGUGGGAAUAAGAGGACAGUUGAUGGUUUGGGUGAUUGCUUUGAUUUUGAG
rnacentral:lncRNA from 1 species